rnacentral:tRNA from 1 species
GGGACUGUGGCUCAGUGGUAGAGCACUCACCUAGCCCAUGUGAGGCCCUGGGUUUGAUCCUCAGCACCCA